CAAAAAUAAGAAAAAACAUAAAAAAAUAUUUUUUUUUUUUUAUAUUUUUUUUUAUUUUUAUUUUAUUAUUUUUUUUUUUUUUUUUGUUUCUUUGUUUACUAAAUGUAUUUAUUUACCAUUAUUAUAAUUUAUGAUAUAGGAAAUGUAUGUAUGCAUAUACAUAAUAAAUUGUAAUUUUCAAAAAAAAAAAAAUAGAUAAAACACAUAUUUUUAUUAUUUUUUUUAAAUUAUAAUAAUCUGAUAAUAAGCAACAAAAAAAAAUAAAAAAAAAUAAAAUAAAAUAAAAUAAAAAUAAAAAGAAGCUAAAAAAAAAAAAAAGCUACAAAAAAUGAAAUGUUUAGUUAUAGUAGAUGCACAAAAUGAUUUUUUACCAGGAGGUGCAUUUAAUGCAGAUGAGGUAUAUAUGGAGGCACUGAAAACAAUAAAUUCUAUAAGAUUAAAAAUGUAUAAUUGUAAAGAAAGCAAUUUAUUAAAGCUAAAAGAUUGUAAACAUAUAAUAAAAUAUAAGAAAGAUAAACUAAAAGAUGAAGGCAUCGUGAGAUAUUUAAAUUGUAGUUGCGAUGUAGAUGAUGAGAAUAUUGCAGAUGAUUUAUUAUUAUUUCCAUACGAUGAUCAUGUUAAUAAAAUAGAUCUAAAAAAUUCACUAUUAUUAAACAAUUCAAAUGAACAUUUUAAUAACCUAAUAGAAACAAAAGAAGAGCAGCUAACUGGUAGUGUAAUUCAUCAUGGUAGUAAUAACAUAAAUCAUAUCAAAACAAAAUAUAAACAAAUAUAUAGUGAUAACAAUAACUACAAUUUAAAUGAUUAUAGGGAUGUAAAUAAUAUAAUAGAAAAAGAACCUAUAGCUAAUGUAAAUACAAAUUAUAACAAGUCAAAUUUCGCUAUGAAUAUUUUAACUGUUGACUAUCACCCUCAGUUUCAUAUUUCAUUCGCAGAAACGCAUAGGUUUAUUUAUAGAAUGAUAUGCAAAAAUGAUUUAAAAAUAAAAAAGAAACUGAAAUUAAAUGGGUACCUUAAUGGUCAAGAAAAUGGACAUGUAAAUGGACACUUAAAUGGACACUUAAAUGGGCAAGAAAAUGGACAUGUAAAUGGACACUUAAAUGGGCACCUAAAUGGGCAAGAAAAUAGACACUUAAAUGGAUACUUAAAUGGACACCUAAAUGGGCAAGAAAAUAGACACUUAAAUGGAUACUUAAAUGGACAUGUAAAUGAACAUUUAAAUGGAGACUUAAAUGGAGACUUGGAUGACGUGCCAAUGUAUGCGAAUACACAUGAACAUAUUAACGGUGUAGACCCAAAUGGUAACAUUUUGCUGGAAUUAGAAAAUAAUGAAGUGAAAAAAAAAAGAAAAGGUAGUGUAGCCCAGUUAGUAAAACGUGAUGGAAUAAAAUCAAUAGUAAUAAAUAAAAAUAAAACAAGGGUAAUAAAAAAGGAGAACGUAGAAACAGAGACGGAGAUAAUAGAAUUGGGAAAUGUUGAAGAGUGUGAAGAAAAAGAAUGCAUGGAUAUAGAAAAAGAAAAGUUAAAUGAUUCUUGCUCCUUUUUUUUAAAUAAAUAUAAAAUUAAUAAUUUAUCAGAUGUAAUAAAAAAUAUCAAAAGGAUUAAAAAUCCUACAUAUAUUUAUAAAAAUAUAAAAUCUAUACAUAAUAUUAAAGAAUACAGCAAUAUAUAUUUUUUAAAUAAGCCAAUAAAUAUAUGGCCUGUCCAUUGUGUUCGAAACACAGUAGGAUGUAAAAUUCAUAAAAAAUUAAUUCGACAUGUAAAUGAUAUAAUUAUAAAAAAAGCUACUAGCGAGAAUUAUGAAAGUCACACAAUAUUUGAAAAUAGCAAAAUUAGUGAAAAUAUAUUAAAAGUUUUAUAUUCAAAUAAUAUAAAACAGGUAUAUAUAUGCGGUUUUAUAUUUGAAUAUUGUGUUAAAGCAACAGCACUAAGUUUCCAUGAUUUAGGGUUUGAAACUUAUAUUGUUGAAGAUGCAACAGCAUAUUUAAUCGACAAAAAGAAAGAGAUGAUUUUUUUAAAAAAAAAAGGUAUUAAAUUUAUACAAUCCUCAAAUCUUUUUACUUAAUAAUAAAAAAAUAAAUUACAUUUUGUUUUUUGGCA
rnacentral:lncRNA from 1 species